rnacentral:sRNA from 2 species
CAUUCAAUCAAGUCUUAACUUGGAGAAGAACGGAGGAACCAAUUUUUGGGGCAAAUCUCACUCAGCGUGAGACAGACACCUUCCAGUCUGAGUCCGUCAGCUAACUCCGUAGGCAAUGGAAGGAGCACCA